UUCCAAGUGAUCAAUUGACUUCUAUUUAACCCAGAUUAACCUUGCUAUAUUCCUAUGCAAAACAAUUGGAUUAAACUCUUUCCAGUCCCAAUUCCUUAUAUGUUACAUGCGGUGAACAGAUAUUUUCAUUCAAUUCACAAACCUAAUUAUUUACCGUGUAAAUAAUUGAGUCACAUGUCAUCAUGUCUAGUUCUAACCCUAGAAUUCCUCUCCCAAUUCCUUCUAGAGUAACACACUAAUUAUUGGCCAAAUAAUUAAUCAUUAAAAUCAAAACAUGAUAAACAAUCC
rnacentral:lncRNA from 1 species